CCGGGAUUGUUUUUGUUGUCGCUGAGGCCGGAAGAGCCUUGAGAGAGCCGGGUCCGGGUCCCCGGGCCGGGCGCCGCCGCCGCCCCCUGCCCAGCGCCCGCGUCUUCGCGGCGCCGCCUCAGCGCCAUUAUUCCCGAGAGCAAGCGUUACACGGCGGCGGCGGCGGCGGGGCCCGGAGCGGGAGGCGCCGGGGACCGGAGCGAGGCGGCCCCCGUCGCCGCCAUGGAGGCGCUGGGACCCGGACCUCCAGCCAGUCUUUUCCAGCCACCUCGGCGUCCUGGCCUUGGAACUGUUGGGAAGCCAAUUCGACUGUUAGCCAAUCAUUUUCAGGUUCAGAUCCCUAAAAUAGAUGUGUAUCACUAUGAUGUGGAUAUUAAACCAGAAAAACGGCCUCGUAGAGUCAACAGGGAGGUGGUAGACACUAUGGUACGACACUUCAAGAUGCAGAUAUUUGGGGAUCGGCAGCCUGGUUAUGAUGGCAAAAGAAACAUGUACACAGCACAUCCACUGCCAAUUGGACGUGAUAGGGUUGACAUGGAGGUUACCCUCCCAGGUGAGGGUAAAGACCAAACUUUCAAAGUGUCUGUGCAAUGGGUGUCAGUUGUGAGCCUUCAGUUGCUCUUAGAAGCUUUAGCUGGGCACCUGAAUGAAGUCCCGGAUGACUCAGUACAAGCACUUGACGUUAUUACAAGGCAUCUUCCCUCUAUGAGGUACACUCCGGUGGGCCGUUCUUUUUUCUCACCCCCUGAAGGUUAUUACCACCCUCUGGGAGGUGGCAGAGAGGUCUGGUUCGGCUUUCACCAGUCUGUGAGACCUGCCAUGUGGAAUAUGAUGCUCAACAUUGAUGUAUCUGCAACUGCUUUUUACCGGGCUCAGCCUAUCAUUGAGUUCAUGUGUGAGGUUUUAGACAUUCAGAACAUCAAUGAACAGACAAAACCUCUAACAGACUCUCAGCGUGUCAAGUUUACCAAAGAAAUUAGAGGUCUCAAAGUUGAGGUGACUCACUGUGGACAGAUGAAACGAAAAUACCGAGUUUGCAAUGUGACAAGACGGCCAGCCAGUCAUCAAACCUUUCCUUUGCAGCUAGAAAAUGGUCAAGCUAUGGAAUGCACAGUAGCUCAGUAUUUUAAGCAGAAGUAUAGUCUGCAACUGAAAUACCCCCAUCUUCCAUGCCUUCAAGUGGGACAAGAGCAAAAGCAUACAUACUUGCCACUUGAGGUCUGUAAUAUAGUGGCAGGACAGAGAUGUAUAAAGAAGCUCACAGACAAUCAGACAUCCACAAUGAUCAAAGCCACAGCGAGAUCUGCUCCUGACAGACAGGAAGAAAUCAGUAGACUGGUGAAGAGCAAUAGCAUGGUGGGUGGACCUGACCCAUACCUGAAGGAAUUUGGGAUUGUUGUCCACAAUGAGAUGACGGAGCUCACAGGCAGGGUGCUUCCAGCUCCAAUGCUGCAGUAUGGAGGCCGGAAUAAAACAGUAGCCACACCCAACCAGGGUGUCUGGGACAUGCGAGGAAAGCAGUUUUAUGCUGGCAUUGAAAUUAAAGUUUGGGCAGUGGCUUGUUUUGCGCCUCAGAAACAAUGUAGGGAAGAUUUACUAAAGAGUUUCACUGACCAGCUUCGUAAAAUCUCCAAGGAUGCAGGGAUGCCCAUCCAGGGUCAGCCAUGUUUCUGCAAGUAUGCACAAGGUGCAGACAGUGUGGAGCCCAUGUUUAAACACCUGAAAAUGACAUAUGUGGGCCUGCAGCUAAUAGUGGUUAUCUUGCCUGGAAAGACACCAGUAUAUGCGGAGGUGAAACGAGUUGGAGAUACCCUUUUAGGUAUGGCCACACAAUGUGUCCAGGUCAAAAAUGUUGUCAAGACCUCGCCCCAAACCCUUUCCAACCUUUGCCUGAAGAUAAAUGCAAAGCUUGGAGGAAUUAACAAUGUACUUGUACCUCAUCAAAGGCCUUCAGUGUUCCAGCAGCCUGUCAUCUUCCUGGGAGCAGAUGUCACUCAUCCACCUGCUGGGGAUGGGAAGAAGCCUUCUAUUGCAGCCGUGGUGGGCAGCAUGGACGGCCACCCUAGCCGAUACUGUGCCACAGUGCGGGUGCAGACGUCUCGGCAGGAGAUUGCCCAGGAGCUGCUCUACAGUCAGGAGGUUGUGCAGGACCUGACGAGCAUGGCUCGGGAGCUGCUGAUUCAAUUCUACAAGUCCACACGUUUCAAGCCCACUCGCAUCAUCUACUACCGUGGAGGGGUGUCGGAGGGACAGAUGAAACAGGUAGCUUGGCCGGAGCUAAUAGCAAUUCGAAAGGCAUGUAUAAGCUUGGAGGAAGACUAUCGACCAGGAAUAACCUACAUUGUGGUGCAAAAGAGACAUCACACACGCCUCUUCUGUGCAGAUAAAACAGAAAGGGUGGGGAAAAGUGGCAAUGUCCCAGCAGGCACUACAGUGGAUAGUACCAUCACACAUCCAUCGGAGUUUGACUUUUACCUCUGUAGUCAUGCAGGAAUUCAGGGAACCAGCCGUCCUUCACAUUACCAGGUCUUGUGGGAUGACAACUGCUUCACUGCAGAUGAACUUCAGCUGCUGACUUACCAGCUCUGUCACACCUAUGUGAGGUGCACGCGCUCAGUCUCCAUUCCUGCCCCUGCAUAUUAUGCGCGGCUGGUAGCAUUUCGGGCAAGGUAUCAUUUGGUGGAUAAAGAUCAUGACAGUGCUGAAGGCAGUCACGUGUCAGGACAGAGCAAUGGCCGGGACCCUCAGGCUUUGGCUAAGGCUGUGCAGAUCCACCACGAUACCCAGCACACUAUGUAUUUUGCCUGAGAGUCUUGGAAAAGAACUCAACCAAUUUGGCAUCCCACGCAUCCUCAAAUGUUUCAGAUGCCUACUGCCUCUAGAUAGUGCCACGUUGAUUUCAGAAACCAUUGGUGGGAAACACUGGAUCAGAUGGUGAAGGGUGUUUGCUUGAACUCAUUAGUUGAUUCAAGAUCCAAAUCUGUUAAACUCGCCUUCUCAAAAUCCCAGCAAUACAAAGCACUGUUCUCCUUCAGUCUUUUCAGCAAGUUUGUAAAUACAUUAAUGUUUACAUUUCCGUGUGCUGUUGCUCAGCAAUGCCACCACCAACGUUAGCUGAACUGGUCUCUGAGAGAGUUUUUAAAUGUUCAUCGAGUACUUUAGCUCGUGAGGAUGAGUGCAGACAUCCUUAAUCUCUGCAGACAGUGGGGAAAAGCAAGUCCUGUGGCUGAAGCACAACGAAGGCAGGAGUGAAGAGAUGGCUGAUACUAUUUUUUUUUUUUUUUGCGAAUACCUCACUUGGAUAAUACAAAUCUGGACAUGUUGAUCAAUGGCUGGCUGCCCCUUUUAUUCACACUCAUUCAGGGAGAGCACAGAAAAUACUCUUCAGCACAGCCGCUCUGGAUCCAAGAGGAGGAAAAAAAUGGGAGCUUUUUAGGAGAAUGAGAACUCACCUGGAGCCUGUGGCAUGAAGAACUCUUGAUGGCUGGCUAGCUGGCUGGCCGGCCAGCAGGCACCACACCUGCACUUACUUGAGUGCCGCAGGCUCACUGGUUAACAAUGCACAGAAGAAAGUCUUGCCAUCUUCCUGCAUGAUGGAACAGGAAGCAAGCUGGGUGCCCAGAAGCCCUGAUCCAUCUGCCUGCAGUUGGGUUCCAUGUUUGACCUUGAACAAAAUACCCAAAACACCUCAAUCUGUCCUAGUAUGCUGUGGCCUAUUAGUGUGGUGGUGGAAGAAAGGCCAGGAGGCCAGUUUUUGUAGGAAAACAGUACCAUUAAGGGUGUGAUGCUGUUGUUUUGGACAAAUGGAAAGAAAUAUGGAAGAAUUAGGACUGUUGGGGAAAAGCUUGCCAAGGGGUGAAUAGUUAAGAGGUGAUCCCUGCAGAAUCAGAACUGCAGUAAUACUGUCGCAAGCAAAUCUGAAUGCAUAGUUUUAAUUUAAUUAGGGUUGACAAUUCAAAUAGUUCUCCCCUCGAAACUGACUGAAUCGUUAUGCAUGUGUCAGUCAAUGGGAGGUGUGCAUUCUCUAGAAGUAGUGUUAGGCUGUCUGGUUUUCUUAAACGCAGCCUAUUUAGGCACUGUCAUGUAGUGUGAAAGAUUGCAGUAUGGCAACGCUGAAGAAUAACAGUUUGGGGCUAGGGAGCACAGGACAUUAAGAGUGGGGAAGACCCAAAUGUUGAAAUAAUUAUGUUUUGUUGUUGUUGUUAGUUGUUGAGUCCUGAGCCGUUUAUGAAGUGAACCAGCUGGCUUAACGCAGCUAGCAUUCUGGGCAGGCAAACCACAUUUACUCCUACUGUAAAUUCUAUAUGCUGCUUCCAAAGGUGAUGACUUACAAGCAGGCAUGUUCUGUAUGUCCUGUAUUUUAGCAUCUGGUGCCCGAUCUAUAUCCAUGCCCUUACCCACCUGACUCAGCUGCCUAUUCCUUCCCCUGGGAAAAGAUAAUCCACUGUUUUAGCAAGGCUCACCCUCUCUACCCUAGUCGCCCUCUGUGGAUAUAUUAUACGAUUCUCUUGCUCAUUAGCAAGGUGGCAGCUCAGCUUUCAUUUUAAGAAAGUGGAGGUUAAGGGCAUUGUAUUAAUAUUGCUUCAACUCCAAGAAUUUUUUCUUGUAAAAUUAAAGGAAAGAUCUUUAUUGGCCAACUGUUUUCUUUUCCCUUGCUAUUGACAGAUUCAUAUUUUUUCUGUGUCUACUGGCUGAAAAUGUUUGUUUGUUCAUCUGACUAACGGUGUGGUUUUUGUUUCUCUGUUGUUAGACUUGUAAUGUUUUAAAAUGUAUUUUUAUUAAUUUGGACUGGAUGUCUGUCUCUAGCAAUACGAGGUACUUUCUAAGCUAUUAAGGAAGGGUUUGUAUCCCUGUGUGAAAUAAGGUGAUGGUUGUUUAAAAAUUUUUUUUUGGCCUGCAGGGAUAUUUUGUGUUCAU